GGUAGUGUUAACAAAUCAACGUCCUGCUGACAAGAGGUGAACGGAGUCUCAUCUGGAAAGAACAGGGCAAGAGAUCAGUAGGCAGUUGGAUUUAUGCUUCAGAGCAUUGCUUCUUUGCAUGAAACUUAGAGGUGCCUUGUUAAACACUUAGAGAGCUCAUCCAAGGCACCGACCGGGUCCUCAUUCAACAGUGACGCCAUCUGCUUGCAGGCUUGCCGUGAUAAUCCAAGAGUAAAGUCCCUUCGAAAAGCACCCCGAGGAAGAAAGAAUUGUCAACACAUCUCUUUUAAGGUACGGUUGGUUCAGUC
rnacentral:lncRNA from 1 species